GCCUGGCUAGCUCAGUCGGUUGAGCAUGAGACUUUUAAUCUCAGGGUUGAAGGUUCGAGACCCUUGUUGGGUG